GCCAGGCAGCAAUCAGUUGUUGUUUUAUAGCGCCUCCCUUCGAGGUUGGAUCCUUAACUCCAGUGUUGUCAGUGUGGAGUUUGUAUGGUCUCCCUGGGACCACAGGUGCUUUCCGAGGUACGACUCGCGGACUGUUAGUUUAACUGGCCGCUGUACAUCGCCCCCUAAUGUGAAGGCAAUGGAUGUCCACUGGAUAUUUGCCAGCAGUCAUUAUCCAUCCUAAACCCUUUAACACCUAAUCCUUGAAUGAAGAACCAAGUCAAACACAUUGCUGGGUCUGGAGACACACAGAGCCCAGGGAUUGACAGCAGGCAUCACCAAUCCCCACCUCAGAGGUGAACCAAAUAAGAUUUUACAACUAUCUGGGAGUUUCAGUGCUGAGCUCAUUUUGUUAAAAGAAAUACAGGAAGUCCUGGGAGAUCCUGACCCUGCAGUCACAACUCCCUGACGGUUACUCUUACAGUAGAUAUUCAGCAGAACGCAGAUGACCUAUAAGGAAUCGGAUGGCAGAGGGGAAGAAGCUGUUCCUGAAUCACUGAGUGUGUGCCUUCAGGCUUCUGUACCUCCUACCGGAUGGUAACGCAUUCCAAUCAACCUGUCAAUCCUACCACUGGGAUAAUUACGUACCAACAUACACGUCUCUGGGAUGUGGAAGGAAACAGGAGCACCCAGAGGAAACCCACAUGGUCACAGCGAGAAUGUAUAAACUCCACACAGGUGCCAUUGUCCCCAUCUUCACAACCUGCCGGAGGUUCAAACAACCGGACGCCAAUGCCGACCAAGACCAGCUUGAGUAUAUACCUAACGUCCUGCAAGUGAAGAGCAUCUCACCUGAAGGUGGAUUGUUAUGUCUGCAGAGCUGCCUGUCGUUCCCUUGCUGAGUUGCGAGGAAUAUUUGGAAUGAGCCGUGCUGAUGAGACAGCAUCCCUUGUGCUGGACGAUCGUAAAUCAUCUCUUUUAUGACUGCGAUCAAAGUCACUGGAGAGACAUUGAAGCUGGUGAAGUUUUAUUCAGCACAACAAUCUGGCAUCAUUCUGAAGACACUCUCAAAAGAGGCUCACAAACCCAGAGGUACAUCACAUGUUUAUACCCUUGAGAUCAAAGGUAACAGCAGGUGAUUCAAUACAUAUUCAAUAGUUAAAAUGACAUCAUUUACUUCAAUAUUUUGGGUUCAUAAGUGGUUCCUUUGAGACGCAUAGUAGAUGUACAUUGUGGCAUGAGCCCUGCUGGCCUUGCACCUGUACUUAUUAAUUGUUAUUUUAUCUAGAGGUAUUAAGCCCCUGUGCUUUUUGUAUAAUCUUGUCAAAGUUUAUUUUGACUGGCACGGGUUUUCAGCCUAUUGUGAUUUAAAGCGGUCUCCCAAUUAGCACUUACUGUGGGGUCCUUGUGUAUGUUUUGAGAAUGAUUCGUCUCACGGUAUUGCCACCAAAGUUCAGUUGUAGUUCUGAUGAAUAA